GGACCCUUCGGGGAGCUUGCACAGGUGCUGCAUGGCUGUCGUCAGCUCGUGUCGUGAGAUGUUCGGUUAAGUCCGCUAACGAGCGCAACCCUCGCUGUGUGUUAUAUGUGUCACACGGGACUGCCGGUCUUAAGCCGGAGGAAGGUGGGAUGAUGUCAAGUCAGCAUGGCCUUUAUAUCCUGGGCUACACACACGCUACAAUGGCCAACACAAUAGGUUGCUAAGCCGCGAGGUGGCGCCAAUCCAUAAAGUUGGUCUCAGUUCAGAUUGUAGGCUGCAACCCGCCUGCAUGAAGAUGGAGUUGCUAGUAACCGCAGGUCAGCUAUACUGCGGUGAAUACGUUCCCGGGGCUU
rnacentral:rRNA from 1 species